rnacentral:rRNA from 1 species
UCGGGAAUAUUGCGCAAUGGAGGAAACUCUGACGCAGUGACGCCGCGUGCAGGAAGAAGGUUUUCGGAUUGUAAACUGCUUUAGACAGGGACGAAAUAAAUGACGGUACCUGUAGAAUAAGCUCCGGCUAACUACGUGCCAGCAGCCGCGGUAAUACGUAGGGAGCAAGCGUUAUCCGGAUUUAUUGGGUGUAAAGGGAGCGUAGACGGAACGGCAAGUUUGAAGUGAAAUACCCGGGCUUAACCCGGGAACUGCUUUGAAAACUGUCGAUCUAGAGUGUCGGAGAGGUAAGUGGAAUUCCUGGUGUAGUAGUGAAAUGCGUAGAUAUCAGGAAGAACACCGGAGGCGAAGGCGGCUUACUGGACGAUAACUGACGUUGAGGCUCGAAAGCGUGGGGAGCAAACAGGAUUAGAUACCCUGGUAGU